AUUGAACGCUGGCGGCAGGCCUAACACAUGCAAGUCGAGCGAGCGGCGGACGGGUGAGUAAUGUCUGGGAAACUGCCUGAUGGAGGGGGAUAACUACUGGAAACGGUAGCUAAUACCGCAUACCAUCAGAUGUGCCCAGAUGGGAUUAGCUAGUAGGUGGGGGACUGACUCACCUAGGCGACGAUCCCUAGCUGGUCUGAGAGGAUGACCAGCCAGACUGUGACAGAGGCACGGUCCAGACUCCUACGGGAGGCAGCAGAGGGGAUUAUUGCACAAUGGGGGCAAGCCUGAUGCAGCCAUGGCGCGUGUGAGAAGAAGGCCGUCGGGUUUUAUAGCACUAUCAGCGGGGAGGCGUUGCCCGAAGAAGAAGCACCGACUAACUCCGUGCCAGCAGCCGCGGUAGUUC
rnacentral:rRNA from 1 species